rnacentral:rRNA from 1 species
UACGGAGGGUGCAAGCGUUAUCCGGAUUCACUGGGUUUAAAGGGUGCGUAGGCGGGCAGGUAAGUCAGAGGUGAAAUCUCCGGGCUUAACCCGGAAACUGCCUUUGAUACUAUCUGUCUUGAAUAUGGUGGAGGUAAGCGGAAUAUGUCAUGUAGCGGUGAAAUGCUUAGAGAUGACAUAGGACACCCAUUGCGAAGGCAGCUUACUACGCCUAUAUUGACGCUGAGGCACGAAAGCGUGGGGAUCAAACAGG